GUCUCCGAUUCUUUACGAGUUCACUGGUCUUAUUUCCGAAACAUCCAGUGCCGUUUGCAAUGCCCUUCGUGUCCCAGCUCAAACUCGAGUGUGCCUAGGACUUCCCCUUUAAGGCGAGGCUGAAUUGUAAUUUAUUUAUUUAUUAUUGUUUUUUCGUCGGUAGAUGUAUUUUUUUUGUUGAGCAGUAACGUGAGGCAUCGGCAAUAGCCCAAGUCUGGCAUUUACCUUUCUGCUAAUUACAGAAAUGUGUUUUAACAGAAACUAUAUUAAUGUAAGAUCGCUAUGCGCUAACCUCGUUGGAACAAUCUAUCUAUUUUCCUGAGCUAAAAAUAAGAUGCACUUUCACUUGACAGAAUGUCAAAAGAACUGCCCGGCGAAGAAUAUAAUGGACAAAGCCGCCUGACGGGGUGCGCAUUGAGACAGGAGUGAGGAGUGAAUGCGGAAUACGACAUCUGGAACACAGUGUAGCUCUCGUCUGUUUCCCCGAUAUCCUGCUUAAUCCUCGCAGAACAUCAUUCAAGCAACUUAAAAGACAAGCGACGUUUUGAACGACUUCAAUUAGGAUUUGUAUGUAUGCUUUGUGUGUCUCUGUGGACUACUGUGAAAGAAAGAUACUCUCCCUGUAACCCUCCUGGGGUAGACAGAGGAAGAGAGAGAGGGAGAGACACAGACUGAAAGUCUAUCUUUCUCUCUCUCUCUCUCUCUUUCUUUCCUUCCCCCUCUUUGCUCUAUAAGGAGGCAUCAAAAGUGAGAGAGCUGGAGCAAGAGAGAGAUACUUAGAAAGGAGUCCGAGGCACGCCAGGCCUCUCUCUCUCUCUCUCUCUCUCUCUCUCUCUCCCUCCUCCUCAGUCCCCACUUCCUUAGCCAUGACGUCAACCUCCUCCCCACUGCCCUCCCCUUCCCCGUGCCCCCCGCCCCCACCGUCCCUCCCUUCCUCCCCCACCCCCUCAUCCCCGGCCCCCACCACCCUCCCCCUGCCCCCCUCCCUGCCCCCCACGGGCGAGGUGAUGGUGUUGGCUCUGGGGCGUAAGAAGCAGCGGCUCCUCAUCUGCCUCACCAUCCUGCCCAACCUCUUCCUCGCCUUCCUGCUGUCCUCCGACCCCCUCCUCACGCUGGCCGCCCCCCACCACUGCCGCCUCCCCGGGCCCUCCCCCUCCCCCCAGGUGCUCAACGCCUCUCUGCCGUGGGAGAAGGGCGCGCAGCAGGGGGACAGCGGACACCUGUCCCAGUGCAAGCAGUACCUGUUCGUGAACGGCACCCAGGCCGGCGUGGAGGACUGUGAGCACGGAUGGGACUACAACGUCACCGAGGGCCUGAGGAACAACAUCGUCACCGAGUGGGACCUGGUGUGCGGUCAGUACUGGCUGGUGCCCCUGGAGGAAGUCUGCUUCAUUCUGGGCGCCCUGACGGGCUUCCUGGGCCUCGGAUUCGCGGCUGACCGUUUGGGUCGGCUGAAAGCCAUGCUCUCUUCCCUGACCCUCUCAGUGGUAUUUGGCGUGCUGGUGUGUGUCUCCCCAUCCCCCGCCUUCUUCAUCGGCAUGCGCUUCUGUCUGGCAGCCACCAGCGCUGGAGUCUACCUCACUCUCUACGUCACACGUCUCGAACUCUGUGACCCUUCGCUGCGACUCCUGGUCACCGUGGCAGCAGGCCUGACUACAGUUGCCGGGGAGCUGUUGUUGCUGGGUGUGGCUCUGGGGUGCCAGUCGUGGCGCGGCCUGCUCGGGACGGGGGCGGCACCCUUGACCUUGUUUCUCUGUUACGGGGUUCCCGGUGUGUUCCCAGAGUCUCCGCGCUGGCUCCUGCUGUCGGAGACGUCAGGAGACAUGAACUCCUUCAGCGAGAGGAGGGAGAGGGACCGGGAUGAUGAGAGUUUCACAGAGCUGGAGUCGGAGCUGGAGACGCCCUCCUCCACCCGUCCCCACUUGUCCUUCCACGAGCUUCUGCACAGCAGGAACAUCUGGAAAAACAUCUGCGUGCUGGGCUUCACCUCCUUUAUCUCCCAUGGAAUCAGCCACUGCUACAGUUCUUUCCGUGGUGACGUCAGAGGCACCACCCCUAGUUUCUACUGGACUUACCUGCUCUCCGUGUGUGCUGGAGGCGGUGCCUGGCUGUUGCUAUGGGCAACAGUUAACAGGUGUGGCCGUCGUGGAAUUUUGCUCCUGGCCAUGACACUGACAGGGCUGGCCUCUCUCAUUCUCCUGGGACUAAUCGAGUAUCUGUCGGAGUCUGCGAUCACUGUGUUCUCCGUGAUGGGCCUGUUCUCUUCCCAAGCGGCGGCCCACCUCUGCAUCCUCUUCACUGCGGAGAUCAUGCCCACCGUCAUCAGGGGCACAGGCGUUGGUGCAGUGCUGGCUCUGGGCUGUGUUGGCCGCCUCAGCUCCCCGCUCAUGGACCUGCGCAACCACUACGGCUACUUCCUGCACCACGUGGUCUACUCCUCCCUGGCCCUGCUGGCCGUGCUCUCUAUCCUGCUGCUGCCAGAGAGCAAGAGGAAGCCCCUUCCCCAGACGCUGGCCGACGGCGAGCAGUACCGGCGCCCCCCGCUGGGCCGGAGGAGAAGAGACAACGUGCCCUUGCUGGCCACACCCAACCCUGAGACCUAGACAUCCCCACCCCCUCUCCAUCUCUGCUCAGCAUCGUGCACACACACACACACACACUCACUCACUCACACACUCACUCAGCCUCCUCCACCGCCACACAGAGUCGCUCGUGGUCCAUGCUUCUGUGAGGGGAGGUGGGUGGGCUCUGGGAGGGUCAGAGGUCACCUGGAGGUCACCUGAAGGUCAGAGGGUUAGAGGGAGAAGCAGAGCAUGUGUCCCACACACUGUCCAUUACCCUCUAACAUCACAGUCAUUUCUGACGGAGCUGGAGGAGGGAGUCUCUGGACACUGGCUCAGCCUGGACACAUGACGGACCUGGAGGCCAGGGGGCCUUUCUGACGGAGCUGUGCGGAGAGUGACGCAAACACUCAGUGAUGCACGCCGCGUUCCCCCUGUUCCUCCACAGCCAGCACAGAUAGAGAACGACACACAGAGCGCUCGGUCUGUAAACCGUCAGUCAGGGAGACCCAUGCAAUAGCCCCUUCAUCAGGGUCCUCACGGAUGGUGGCCUUCUGAUGGGCAGACACGGCCUGUCCACAGAGACCCAAUCAGCUCCAGACUACCCUCCAUACACGCAAGGGCUGACCAAACAUCACGGCUAGUUUGUAAAUAGUAUUAACUUCACCUGUUUUCAGACCUCUUCCAGACUUUACCUGUUCCCACUUCUGACUGUAGGGGGAGCCAUUUUCUUUCCAGCUGAGAAGCUGAAUUCGUAGCAGAAAUGUCUGGAGGCAUCUUUGAGUUGGGGCCCAAAACAUCAGACAGUCCUUAGGUCUAGUAAUGAAUAAGUGCGGAGGGGGGUCUCGGAAAACAAAAUGUGGUGCCAAAACCUGACUUCAACUUGUCUUUAAUUAUAAUAUGAUCAUUAUAAUAUGGCUCUGGGCGGAAUUGAAUGUGUUUUAAAAUGUAAAGCACGCACAUGUAACUUUUGACCCUCACUUAUAUUGUGAGAAAUAAUGCUGAAUUUAGGUGAUCACAUCUAAAUAAGAGUCUGAAUAUGCCGAAGACCUUUUCAGAACUUGAAAACAAAGAAGAAAGAAAUAAGCUAGUACUUGGGUAUUGAAAAUGUCUGCAUCUGCUUCAGUUACUUCAGUCCUUAUGGUAGGACCAUCAGACUUGGAUCAUUCUGGUCUGCCUGAUGGGACUGGGAUGGGGUUCUGGUCUGCCUGAUGGGACUGGGUUGGGGUUCUGGUCUGCCUGAUGGGACUGGGUUGGGGUUCUGGUCUGCCUGAUGGGACUGGGAUGGGGUUCUGGUCUGCCUGAUGGGACUGGGAUGGGGUUCUGGACUAAGUUAGGUUUAGGGGAAGAAGGGUGAGGGACUAUUCUGAAGCCUCCUUUAUCACAAACCUAAAUAAUGUUAGUUUCUUAACAAUGGACAUAUUGUUAUAACUUUGAAUGGUUAACAAUAAUAUAUGAUUAUAAUAUUAACAAUAAAUGACUUGACCUUAGAAUUAAGAUGUAUGACAGUGAUUGCUUCAUAUCAUGUAAUAACAAUGCUAAGAUUAUGUUGGUAACUAGUCAAAUUGAACUGAAAAUAAACAUGUUGAUAAAAACAAA